GACGAACCUUGCUAACGUUAUUCGGAAUUACUGGGCGUAAAGAGCGCGCAGGCGGUCGUUCAAGUCGCGUGUGAAAGCCCCCGGCUCAACUGGGGAGGGUCACGCGAUACUGAUCGACUCGAAGGCAGGAGAGGGUAGUGGAAUUCCCGGUGUAGUGGUGAAAUGCGUAGAUAUCGGGAGGAACACCAGUGGCGAAGGCGACUACCUGGCCUGUUCUUGACGCUGAGGCGCGAAAGCUAGGGGAGCAAACGGG
rnacentral:rRNA from 1 species